rnacentral:rRNA from 1 species
CCGCAGCCCGAGUGGUGGUCACUUUUAUUGAGCCUAAAGCGUCCGUAGCCGGACAGAUAAAUCCUUGGUGAAAUCGAACAGCUUAACUGUUCGAAGUCCGGGGAGACUGUUUGUCUUGGAACCGGGAGAGGUCAGAGGUACUUCGGGGGUAGGGGUAAUAUCCUGUAAUCCUUGAAGGACCACCAGUGGCGAAGGCGUCUGACUUGAACGGAUUCGACGGUGAGGGACGAAGCCCAGGGUCGCAAACGGAAUUAGAUACCCGAGUAGUCC